rnacentral:misc_RNA from 1 species
GUUCUAACUUGUUAUCCAAGCCUCGCAUUAGAAACUAAAAUCAACCAGAAUUUUCCAAAACAUCCUCAAAAUUUUACCAAAACUAUAGAAAUACAAGCUAAACCAAAAUCUCUAAGAGUGCCACUAAAAGUAAAAAGAAACUAAAACAAAGACCCAAAAAUAGCUCUUGCAUGAGUCUCAACAGCCAUACACAAAAAACUGAGGAAGAAGAAACUAAUUUAUG